GACGAACGCUGGCGGCGUGCUUAACACAUGCAAGUCGAACGGAAAGGCCCUGCUUUUGUGGGGUGCUCGAGUGGCGAACGGGUGAGUAACACGUGAGUAACCUGCCCUUGCCUUUGGGAUAACUUCAGGAAACUGGGGCUAAUACCGGAUAGGAGCUCCUGCUGCAUGGUGGGGGUUGGAAAGUUUCGGCGGUUGGGGAUGGACUCGCGGCUUAUCAGCUUGUUGGUGGGGUAGUGGCUUACCAAGGCUUUGACGGGUAGCCGGCCUGAGAGGGUGACCGGCCACAUUGGGACUGAGAUACGGCCCGGACUCCUACGGGAGGAAGCAGUGGGGAAUAUUGCACAAUGGGCGGAAGCCGAAUGCAGCAACGCCGCGUGCGGGAUGACGGCCUUCGGGUGUUAACCCGCUUUCGCCUGUGACGAAGCGUGAGUGACGGUAAUGGGUAAAGAAGCACCGGCUAACUACGUG
rnacentral:rRNA from 1 species